CGACAGAGGGUGCGAACGUUGCUCGGAAUUACUGGGCGUAAAGCGCGUGUAGGCGGACUUGUAAGUCGAUUGUGAAAGCCCUGGGCUCAACCCAGGAACUGCAUUCGAAACUACAAGUCUUGAGUGGGAGAGAGGGAAGCGGAAUUCCCGGUGUAGAGGUGAAAUUCGUAGAUAUCGGGAGGAACACCAGCGGCGAAGGCGGCUUCCUGGACACCAACUGACGCUGAGACGCGAAAGCGUGGGGAGCAAACAGAAUUAGAAACCCCGGUAGUCC
rnacentral:rRNA from 1 species